rnacentral:tRNA from 1 species
GCUCUGAUACGAGAGCUCCGGACUUUUAAUCCGUAGGUUGUGGGUUCGAGUCCCAC